rnacentral:rRNA from 2 species
UUAAGCGACUAAGCGUACACGGUGGAUGCCCUGGCAGUCAGAGGCGAUGAAGGACGUGCUAAUCUGCGAUAAGCGUCGGUAAGGUGAUAUGAACCGUUAUAACCGGCGAUUUCCGAAUGGGGAAACCCAGUGUGAUUCGUCACACUAUCAUUAACUGAAUCCAUAGGUUAAUGAGGCGAACCGGGGGAACUGAAACAUCUAAGUACCCCGAGGAAAAGAAAUCAACCGAGAUUCCCCCAGUAGCGGCGAGCGAACGGGGAGGAGCCCAGAGCCUGAAUCAGUGUGUGUAUUAGUGGAAGCGUCUGGAAAGGCGCGCGAUACAGGGUGACAGCCCCGUACACAAAAAUGCACAUGCUGUGAGCUCGAUGAGUAGGGCGGGACACGUGGUAUCCUGUCUGAAUAUGGGGGGACCAUCCUCCAAGGCUAAAUACUCCUGACUGACCGAUAGUGAACCAGUACCGUGAGGGAAAGGCGAAAAGAACCCCGGCGAGGGGAGUGAAAAAGAACCUGAAACCGUGUACGUACAAGCAGUGGGAGCCUCUUUAUGGGGUGACUGCGUACCUUUUGUAUAAUGGGUCAGCGACUUAUAUUCUGUAGCAAGGUUAACCGAAUAGGGGAGCCGAAGGGAAACCGAGUCUUAACUGGGCGUUAAGUUGCAGGGUAUAGACCCGAAACCCGGUGAUCUAGCCAUGGGCAGGUUGAAGGUUGGGUAACACUAACUGGAGGACCGAACCGACUAAUGUUGAAAAAUUAGCGGAUGACUUGUGGCUGGGGGUGAAAGGCCAAUCAAACCGGGAGAUAGCUGGUUCUCCCCGAAAGCUAUUUAGGUAGCGCCUCGUGAAUUCAUCUCCGGGGGUAGAGCACUGUUUCGGCAAGGGGGUCAUCCCGACUUACCAACCCGAUGCAAACUGCGAAUACCGGAGAAUGUUAUCACGGGAGACACACGGCGGGUGCUAACGUCCGUCGUGAAGAGGGAAACAACCCAGACCGCCAGCUAAGGUCCCAAAGUCAUGGUUAAGUGGGAAACGAUGUGGGAAGGCCCAGACAGCCAGGAUGUUGGCUUAGAAGCAGCCAUCAUUUAAAGAAAGCGUAAUAGCUCACUGGUCGAGUCGGCCUGCGCGGAAGAUGUAACGGGGCUAAACCAUGCACCGAAGCUGCGGCAGCGACACUAUGUGUUGUUGGGUAGGGGAGCGUUCUGUAAGCCUGUGAAGGUGUACUGUGAGGCAUGCUGGAGGUAUCAGAAGUGCGAAUGCUGACAUAAGUAACGAUAAAGCGGGUGAAAAGCCCGCUCGCCGGAAGACCAAGGGUUCCUGUCCAACGUUAAUCGGGGCAGGGUGAGUCGACCCCUAAGGCGAGGCCGAAAGGCGUAGUCGAUGGGAAACAGGUUAAUAUUCCUGUACUUGGUGUUACUGCGAAGGGGGGACGGAGAAGGCUAUGUUGGCCGGGCGACGGUUGUCCCGGUUUAAGCGUGUAGGCUGGUUUUCCAGGCAAAUCCGGAAAAUCAAGGCUGAGGCGUGAUGACGAGGCACUACGGUGCUGAAGCAACAAAUGCCCUGCUUCCAGGAAAAGCCUCUAAGCAUCAGGUAACAUCAAAUCGUACCCCAAACCGACACAGGUGGUCAGGUAGAGAAUACCAAGGCGCUUGAGAGAACUCGGGUGAAGGAACUAGGCAAAAUGGUGCCGUAACUUCGGGAGAAGGCACGCUGAUAUGUAGGUGAAGCGACUUGCUCGUGGAGCUGAAAUCAGUCGAAGAUACCAGCUGGCUGCAACUGUUUAUUAAAAACACAGCACUGUGCAAACACGAAAGUGGACGUAUACGGUGUGACGCCUGCCCGGUGCCGGAAGGUUAAUUGAUGGGGUUAGCGGUAACGCGAAGCUCUUGAUCGAAGCCCCGGUAAACGGCGGCCGUAACUAUAACGGUCCUAAGGUAGCGAAAUUCCUUGUCGGGUAAGUUCCGACCUGCACGAAUGGCGUAAUGAUGGCCAGGCUGUCUCCACCCGAGACUCAGUGAAAUUGAACUCGCUGUGAAGAUGCAGUGUACCCGCGGCAAGACGGAAAGACCCCGUGAACCUUUACUAUAGCUUGACACUGAACAUUGAGCCUUGAUGUGUAGGAUAGGUGGGAGGCUUUGAAGUGUGGACGCCAGUCUGCAUGGAGCCGACCUUGAAAUACCACCCUUUAAUGUUUGAUGUUCUAACGUUGGCCCCUGAUCGGGGUUGCGGACAGUGUCUGGUGGGUAGUUUGACUGGGGCGGUCUCCUCCUAAAGAGUAACGGAGGAGCACGAAGGUUGGCUAAUCCUGGUCGGACAUCAGGAGGUUAGUGCAAUGGCAUAAGCCAGCUUGACUGCGAGCGUGACGGCGCGAGCAGGUGCGAAAGCAGGUCAUAGUGAUCCGGUGGUUCUGAAUGGAAGGGCCAUCGCUCAACGGAUAAAAGGUACUCCGGGGAUAACAGGCUGAUACCGCCCAAGAGUUCAUAUCGACGGCGGUGUUUGGCACCUCGAUGUCGGCUCAUCACAUCCUGGGGCUGAAGUAGGUCCCAAGGGUAUGGCUGUUCGCCAUUUAAAGUGGUACGCGAGCUGGGUUUAGAACGUCGUGAGACAGUUCGGUCCCUAUCUGCCGUGGGCGCUGGAGAACUGAGGGGGGCUGCUCCUAGUACGAGAGGACCGGAGUGGACGCAUCACUGGUGUUCGGGUUGUCAUGCCAAUGGCACUGCCCGGUAGCUAAAUGCGGAAGAGAUAAGUGCUGAAAGCAUCUAAGCACGAAACUUGCCCCGAGAUGAGUUCUCCCUGACUCCCUGAGAGUCCUGAAGGAACGUUGAAGACGACGACGUUGAUAGGCCGGGUGUGUAAGCGCAGCGAUGCGUUGAGCUAACCGGUACUAAUGAACCGUGAGGCUUAACCUU